UAGAGUGUAGAGGUGGCAGGGUAGCCUAGUGGUUAGAGUGUAGAGGUGGUAGGGUAGCCUAGUGGUUAGAGUGUAGAGGUGGCAGGGUAGCCUAGUGGUUAGAGUGUAGAGGUGGCAGGGUAGCCGAGUGGUUAGAGUGUAGAGGUGGCAGGGGAGCCUAGUGGUUAGAGUGUAGAGGUGGCAGGGUAGUCUAGUGGUUAGAGUGUAGAGGUGGCAGGGUAGCCUAGUGGUUAGAGUGUAGAGGCGGCAGGGUAGCCUAGUGGUUAGAGUGUAGAGGUGGCAGGGUAGCCUAGUGGUUAGAGUGUAGAGGUGGCAGGGUAGCCUAGUGGUUAGAGUGUAGAGGUGGCAGGGUAGCCUAGUGGUUAGAGUGUAGAGGUGGCAGGGUAGCCUAGUGGUUAGAGUGUAGAGGCGGCAGGGUAGCCUAGUGGUUAGAGUGUAGAGGUGGCAGGGUAGCCUAGUGGUUAGAGUGUAGAGGUGGCAGGGUAGCCUAGUGGUUAGAGUGUAGAGGUGGCAGGGUAGCCUAGUGGUUAGAGUGUAGAGGUGGCAGGGUAGCCUAGUGGUUAGAGUGUAGAGGUGGCAGGGUAGCCUAGUGGUUAGAGUGUAGAGGUGGCAGGGUAGCCUAGUGGUUAGAGUGUAGAGGUGGCAGGGUAGCCUAGUGGUUAGAGUGUAGAGGCGGCAGGGUAGCCUAGUGGUUAGAGUGUAGAGGCGGCAGGGUAGCCUAGUGGUUAGAGUGUAGAGGUGGCAGGGUAGCCUAGUGGUUAGAGUGUAGAGGUGGCAGGGUAGCCUAGUGGUUAGAGUGUAGAGGUGGCAGGGUAGC